AGUGCAGUCCAAAGUGAAACGCUGAGCUGUUUUUUUUUUUUUUUGCUUUGUUUUUUUAAGCUGUUGUUUCUUUGUUUUUUUUCAUGAAUUUUUUUUUGUUAAUGUUAAAUUUUUUUCUAUUUAGUUUUCAAACUUUCAUGACACGGGUUCCGGGUUUGACGGGUUAACCCAGAUUUUUUUCUGGUUUUUAUUUUUAAUUAAUUUUUUCAUUUAAUUUAGUUUGUUA
rnacentral:lncRNA from 1 species